UACGAAGGGGGCAAGCGUUGUUCGGAAUUAUUGGGCGUAAAGCGCGCGUAGGCGGGUUCGUAAGUCGAUUGUGAAAACCCUGGGCUCAACCCGGGACGUGCAGUCGAUACUGCGAAUCUUGAGUGCCUGAGAGGAUGGCGGAAUUCCCGGUGUAGUAGUGAAAUACGUAGAUAUCGGGAAGAACACCUGAGGCGAAGGCGGCUGAUCUGGCGGUGCACUGACGCUGAUGCGCGAAAGCCAGGGGAGGCCAAAGCGGG
rnacentral:rRNA from 1 species